UCCACCGGUGCUCUCAUGACUCACAAACUGUCUUCCCCUAGAGCAGCUAUUACUUCAUAGACAAGAGGCUCCGAGAGGCUAGAGCCCAGAGCCCAGGCUUGGUCAUGGUGUCUUCAGUAUAAACAACCCUGCCUGGAUUGCACAGAUAUUCAGUGCACAGAGGCAGAUGAACCAGCGCCGAACAACAAGGAAUGGGAAUGAACACCCCUCGCCUUCCUGCCAGCAGAUGAGGCAGAGCCAAGAUACCUUUCCUGGGGUGGAGAUGGGACAGCACUGUGUCAUCUGCGAAGGCAUCCUGUACCAGCAGCCAUCCUCUGCAAGACAAAGGUAAGGCAUCCUGUAGCAGCAGCCAUCCUCUGCAAGACAAAGGUAAGGAUUUAUGCUGCUUCAUCGGAUCUCCCCUUAGUUAACAAACACAAAACUCAGAGAGUGGUGAGUGGCAGGAGGAAGGAAAGGAAACAGGUGAAGGUGGGACUGUAUAGUGUAGCAGUUUGCCUAAUAAUCUGCCAGCUAGUUCCAGGGAGUGGGUAGGGGCGGAGCCCCUGGCUUUGGAAGAAUCACAAGGUUCUUGGUUUAGACUCCCUACCCCUGUUAGCAAAAACAUAGGACUGCCAUGCCACCAAUGUUUAGCAGUGCAAAGAUACUCAGGAGUUGAAAACUGGGGCUAUUAAAGGCAAGUUUGGUGGGGCAUGUACCUUUGGAAGGAACUGUGUGAACACAUACCUACACACACAUAUAUACAAUCCUACCCCACUCCACCCCCACACGCUCACACAUGGGCUUCUGGUAACUAGUAACAUGAUUCUGUCCUUAGUAAAAUGUCAUAAAAUUAAAGUGACUUUUGGAACCUUAAACAAAGGUACUAUGACCAAGGUGAGUUUAAUUGUAAUUUUGUUUAAUUGUACAUUUUGUUGCUUAUUUUCAGAUAGUUUCAAAAGUCAUCCCUGUCUUUGCUCACACUGGCUGGUUUGGCUAUGCAAGACAUGAGACACACCAUUACAGUGGUCAGUGACACAAACCUCAGUACAAGCCACAGGAUGCUAUUGGUUCUGGGAUUGAGGAGCAAAGGGAGAAAAGCAGAAGUCCAAGGGAGGAGACCUCAGGAACAGCAGUCCUGGUCUUCUUAGCAGCUGGCUCGUCUGAAGUGUGAGGAAGGGUCCUCUAUGUUCCUAUGGUGCUACCUUGUCAAGGAUAAGCUCCCUCUCCGUCAACUCUGUCUCUCAUCUUGUUGCUAACUCUCCAUCUUUACAACCUUCCACUAUGGUCACCUUGAUCCUUUCACCUUGCCCUUCCACUGAGAAAACAGUAUCAACAUUAGCCUAUGUGUGCCCAUAAAUAUACGCCCUACCACACGGGUGUAAGGAAACUGGUCAGUGUCGGCGUCCAUGUUCUCCCUGUCAGAAACAGAAGGAUUCCACUUUUCUAUACAAGAGAACUUUCCAGCUUGCUGUAGGAGAAACAUGUCCCACAUUAACUGAUACUCAGCUUCUCAGAGCCCAGCCAGCAAGAAGAGAGCUUCUCUGGUGUUAAUUAGUAGGCACUCAACCCAAGUACACAGACUGACAGCUUGGGAGACAAGAAUAUCGUACUAUGGACUCAGAGAAAGCCUCAUGCCUGGAACAAAGACUGCAGGAUACCAUUUAGAGACAGCUAGCUCGCUGUGCCUUGGCAUGGCAGCCUGUCAAGAAAUGUUUAAAAUGUAAUUUAUGAUCAUUAGUGUGUACCACAGUGUGCAGCCCCUGGACGUAAGAGGACAACUUCCAACAGUCAGUUGUUUUCUUCCCCAUGAGUUCUAGGGACUGAACUCAGGUUCCAAGCUUGUGCGGCAAGCAUAUUUUUUAACUGCUAACUCAUCCCACUGGCCACCAAAAUAUUUCUAAACAAACGGGAAUCUCAUGGCCCACUCUCUAAGCACCAAUCGGGUAUUUAUAACAUUAGGAGAGGUGUCCUGCAAGGAAAAUGAUUUGUUUAUUAAAACUGAAUGUUGUA